rnacentral:rRNA from 1 species
AUUGAACGCUGGCGGCAGGCCUAACACAUGCAAGUCGGACGGUAGCACAGGGGAGCUUGCUCCUCGGGUGACGAGUGGCGGACGGGUGAGUAAUGUCUGGGGAUCUGCCCGAUAGAGGGGGAUAACCACUGGAAACGGUGGCUAAUACCGCAUAACGUCGCAAGACCAAAGAGGGGGACCUUCGGGCCUCUCACUAUCGGAUGAACCCAGAUGGGAUUAGCUAGUAGGCGGGGUAAUGGCCCACCUAGGCGACGAUCCCUAGCUGGUCUGAGAGGAUGACCAGCCACACUGGAACUGAGACACGGUCAAGACUCCUACGGGAGGCAGCAGUGGGGAAUAUUGCACAAUGGGCGCAAGCCUGAUGCAGCCAUGCCGCGUGUAUGAAGAAGGCCUUCGGGUUGUAAAGUACUUUCAGCGGGGAGGAAGGCGGUGAGGUUAAUAACCUUGCCGAUUGACGUUACCCGCAGAAGAAGCACCGGCUAACUCCGUGCCAGCCGCCGCAAUAA